rnacentral:pre_miRNA from 13 species
CCUAAGACGGGAACCGAGCUGGUUUCUUCUUUGGUGAUAAUUCCAUAAAGUGUUUAUCACCGGAAGCAAACUCGCUCUGGUCCCGUCUUGGGAU